rnacentral:rRNA from 1 species
AUACGGAGGAUGCGAGCGUUAUCCGGAUUUAUUGGGUUUAAAGGGUGCGCAGGCGGGCGAUUAAGUCAGCGGUGAAAGGCUCGGGCUCAACCGGGGCAGUGCCGUUGAUACUGGUUGUCUUGAAUGCGGUCAAGGCCGGCGGAAUGUGGCGUGUAGCGGUGAAAUGCAUAGAUAUGCCACAGAACACCGAUAGCGAAGGCAGCUGGCCGGGCCUGCAUUGACGCUGAGGCACGAAAGCGUGGGGAUCGAACAGGAUUAGAUACCCUGGUAGUCCACGCUGUAAACGAUGGACACUCGUUGUCGGCGACAGACAGUCGGCGGCCAAGCGAAAGUGAUAAGUGUCCCACCUGGGGAGUACGGUCGCAAGGCUGAAACUCAAAUGAAUUGACGGGG